rnacentral:lncRNA from 1 species
GCAAAUACUAAGAAUAUGCCUUCAAAGCCAAUAUUCAUAGGAAACAUGCAGACUCUGAUCUGCCACUGACCUAAGUGUCAGAUGUGCUUCUAGGGCUGUCACCCAUCCCUACGACCCACCAAGAGCCCAUCCAAGACCAACAGCACAUUGCUGUGUCUCUAGGAAUGAGUGCACACUCAACGCAAGCUGGGCGUUGGCGGCUCUACCCCACAGUUGCCAGCCUUUGCAAGACUAUGCCUGAAGUUCCCACUUUCAGCUCCUCCUGGUCUGGUUCUUCUGACCUACCUGCCAACCUUUGCCUGCAAGCUAGGUGGCUCAGUGUAACUCCUAUGGCAGAUGGUCAGGGUCACCUUGCAGGAGAAGAAGGGAAAGUGUGUUGGUAGCCAAGGGCCUGCAUGCCAUUUCUGGCACAAACAUAUUGUAGGUUGCAACUUCCUGCUGCACAUGCAUGAAAAGGCUAUCAAUAAACUUUAGGCAGAGAUGUCUUUCUUAAAGUGGGUACUGUGCAAAAGGAAUAGAUGGUAUAGGAAAAUAGGAUCUGUGAUGAAAUAUCUUUAGCAGGUCCACUUCUCAGAGUCUUUAAUAUACAACUGUAUGUUGUAAUGCCUGAAAUGGGGUUGUAAUAUGUGAUGUUGACUAAUUCACUGGGCCCCGAACACUUUGGGACACUGAUAACUCCUGGGACUACUGCUGAGUGGAACACACUUUGAGAAAUGCUAUGGCAGUGCACACUUCUCUUGUCACAGUACAUUGUUCUGUGGUUCUGACCGUUGUGGUUCGGGUUAGAAAAAAUAUUAUCUUGUAGAAGCUAAGUGACUAAGAAGCAGCAAUUUAGAAUCACUAUCAAGACAGCAUCUCAUCAUUCCUGUAAAUGUCCAGAUAAGAAAUCAAUGGCUGGAUUAUUGCCACUGCUCAUUUCAGAGCUGGAGUUGUCUGGCUUUGUUACCGUUUGUCCAAGAUCCAAGUUGAUUCUUUUAUGCUUUCUUUUUUGAAACACAGGCAGUCUUCAUUAGCCCUAAAAGAUGCUGGGGAUCACCUGAAGCAUCUCGGAGUCUUUUCGGGUGGCCUGUUCAUUAGUAACUUAAUUCACCCACCUAAUGUUUGGCACCUACUGUGCCCUGGGCCCUACAGAACACACAAAGUUCAAUGAGGCAAAGUCCCUCUUCUUUAAUAUCUUUGGUGCCAGUUCUGUCUGAUGUCUUCUGCCAUUUAUGUUCUAGAAAAUGGCACAAUAACACGUUUAUAGACAAAGGAACCCAUCUGGAGAUGAAUGAAGUAAAUAGCUGGUUCCAGUUUUGGUACUAAGAGGUGAGAAACUGUUCCAAGGCAGCAGACUACGGAAGAAAAAUCAUUACUUCGCUUCCACUUAAUUUUAGUGAACUUCUUAGAAGAGGUAGUUUUGAAAGAUCUGAAAUAAGGACAUUGGACUGAUCCCAAGACGAGUUGUUCAGUAAACAUAUGAGGAUCCAGGCUUGGAAAUGGGAGCAUAGUGUAUAAAAGGAGCCCACCUCCACCAACAGCUCAGAAGCAGUAACGCUGGGUGUUCUGUCUUUGUUCACUCUUGAAGACAGCAUCUCCUAUAUUUCCUAAUUCCCACCAUUGCGAACUGUCAAGCCUGUGUUUCAUUAUAAUCUUGGCCCUCAGAGAACAUAGUUCAUCCAAAGAUGAUGGGGUUUUAUGAACAGGAAUUAGGCUUUGGACCAAGUUUGUGAUAAAUCAUAAGCUUCAUUAUAUAGGUGAGGAAAAGGGACCAACUGCUCGUUGACAGAUCUGCCGUGGAGCAAGAGGGCAGACUCCAUGUGGCCAUUUCAGAAAGGUUCCAUUGUGAAUUUUGACUGACCCAUGAGGCGACUUUCUCUGGGGGAAAGUGGUGUGGAAGGAGAACAAUAAAAGGCAAAGGAGGAAAAGAGGGAUCUUUGUGGGUGGAUGUUCCCUCCAUCCACCGCUCCAUCCAAAUCACGUGAGCCCCCAGGGAGAUGUUAGCGUGAUAUGAUGCUUAAUAUAUAUUAAAGGAGAAAAUAAAAUUAUUUUUCUAUUCAAGCCCAGUUAAGAUCUACGUGAAGAACUGGAGAAUUUUUCCUCUCACUCAAAAUGAACAAAAGGCCUAUUAAUAAUGUUAGGAUGUGAUCUCACUGUGGUUAAAAAUAUUCGUGUUGCUUGUAUGUAGAAUGGCAGGUAAACCAUUCAGGACUAGUGUGGGCAACAACAAAUAUAAACAUAAGAGAGAAGAGGAAAUGAAAAUGCGGGGGUAAUAAUAGCCUUGGAUUAACACCAGUAUUUUCAAAGGAUCCCAAACAAGUUCAGAUUCAAUAGGAGUCCCUUUGCCAAGAUCUCCGAUACAUUCCACCUCUCAGCAGGCUGGCUGCUGUUUCCUAAGGAGCGUCUCUAACAUCAGCCCUUUCCCCUGGGUCCUCCAUGCCAAAACCUGUCUUGUUCUCAACUCCUAUUACUCUCGCUGUCAUUAUGUGGCCACCAAGCUCAGUCAGGCUGCUCUUUAUGCUGCUGCUGAGUUUUCAUCCACCUCAUUUGAUUUUUGCCACCUUCAGGUAGUCAUUCAUUUUUUUCUCCAUCUAUAACUGAGGAAAUUACAGACAAUUAAAUAGAUGACUAAUUAAGUUAAGCCUAAACAAGGCACUUCAGACUUGUCCUGCUUUGUUUGGUGGCCUGCUGAGGCAGAUAGGUCCAAAGAUUUGGUUUCUUCGAAUGGCCUGGAAUCUUGCACUUGACUGAGAGGGAGAGGUGGUUGGAGAGUUCCUGGCCAAGAGACAGGAGGUGGGUGGCUGUGCCUCUCUCUGGUUUCAUGGACAAUUUCAGAACCCUUCUAAGAGAAAGGGGUUAACAACAAAAGCUGGAGAAAUUGCUCUUAUAAAGUGACCUGUGAUACUGGGGUAAGAUUGUAAGGUGCAGGAGAAAAGCGAGAUGCCCAAACAAUGCUACUUAGUCCCUCCUCACUCCACCAGGUGACAAUAUGUCACAGAACUGGGAGGGGCCACUUUCCCUACCUCUGCAGAAAAUUCGGCUUCUGUCUGGCUUCAUGAGGCCUGACAGCUUUGAGAACAGGAGCCUUUGAUAAACACCCACAGGCUGACCAGGAACGUGGUGUGGAUUUAUGAGCAGGCCAUUAUAUGCUCUCUCCAGAGAUAACGAACUGAAAUGUUAAAUACUUUGUGCUCUUCCCCACCGGUGGGCACAGCUAGAUGACAUCUCCCAAGCCCCUUGCAUCUAGGGACCAUGUGACUAGUCUUGGCCAAUGUAAUGUGAGUGGGAGUGAUGGAUGCCGCUUACAGGCAUGGUUCCCAGAAACUUCUGUGAGAUCCUCUACACCCUCUCUCUUCAUUCAUCUGCUGGCUGGUUGUAGAGGACCCAGUGGAGGACUCUGAAACCCCAGGUGAUAUGAAGAGCCACAAGAUGGAAGGAGCCUGGAUCCCUGAAUGACUGCAUGGAGCAGUCUCUCAUACCGUACCACACCCGCUUCUUCACUGCACUGCAAUGUCACUGAAAAUUUAAACUUUGCUGUGUUAAACCACUGAGAUUUGGAGCUUGCUUGUUACAGUGGUUACCAUACUGACUAACACAGAGCUGAAGCUGAAAGUCAUGAUGUUGAGAGGCCAGGGCUGCACCGUACCUUCUCAAACGUUUCCCUAUGAAGUUGCCAGAAGUGCAGUGAAUCUUCCUCCUGCUCUGAUUGAGGUCACACUGCCCUGAAGGUGACAAGCCAGAAUCAUAGCCUGGGCCCUGGAGAGGCAUGGUCAACAUUUGAUCUUCAAACAGGAAUCCAUCAAGAUUGCCUUAAUCAGGGAGAAGUCACCUGAAUCCACUCCUAGACAAACUCUUUCUCUUUUCUUAGUGUUCUUAUUUGCCAUGUUCACUGAGUUAUCUGGGUGAACCCUGGCACUGAGAAAUUCACUGUCAGAGGCAGGACGAGCUCACUGGACUGCCACCACCAGCCAAGGAGUGAGCGUGAAAAAGAACUGCCCUUGGACCAGCUUCUCUGCAUCUCACUGUCUUAAUUUUACCCUGUGAUCUUCAGCAUAGACUUAAUGACCGUUAUGUCAACAUACGACCUUCAGAAAAGUUGUCGGAACCAAAAACAAUGGAAAGCAAGGACCCAAAGAAUAUUCAUACAUUCAUAUUCAUAGCAGCAUUACUCACAAUAGCCAAAAGGUGGAAGCAACCAGCCAUGUCCAUUGAUGGAGGAGUGGAUAAACAAAAUGUGAUUCAUACAUACAAUGGAUUACUAUUCAGCUUUAAAAAGGAAGGAAAUUUGGGAGCCAGCCCAGUGGCAUAGCGGUUAAGUUCAGUACACUCUGCUUUGGUGGCCCAGGUUUGCAGGUUCAGAUCCUGGGUGCAGACCUACACCACUCAUUAGCCAUGCUGUGGCAGUGACCCACAUAUAAAGAGGAGGAAGAUUGGCACAGAUGUUAGCUCAGGGC